AACGAACGCUGGCGGCAGGCCUAACACAUGCAAGUCGAGCGAACCCUUCGGGGUUAGCGGCGGACGGGUUAGUAACGCGUGGGAACAUACCCUUUGGUACGGAAUAGCCUCGGGAAACUGAGAGUAAUACCGUAUGUGCCCUUCGGGGAAGGAUUAUCGCCAAGGAUGCCGCGUGAUAGUAGUGUGGGUAUGCUACCAAGCUACGAUCCAUAGCUGGUUUGAGAGGAUGAUCAGCAACACUGGGACUGAGACACGGCCUAGACUCCUACGGGAGGCAGCAGUGGGGAAGUCUUAGACAAUGGGCGCAAGCCUGAUCUAGCCAUGCCGCGUGGACGAUGAAGGCCUUAGGGUUGUAAAGUCCUUUC
rnacentral:rRNA from 1 species